UACCUGAUCCGAGGUCAAAAGUUGAAAAAAAGGCUUAAUGGAUGCUAGACCUUUGCUGAUAGAGAGUGCGACUUGUGCUGCGCUCCGAAACCAGUAGGCCGGCUGCCAAUUACUUUAAGGCGAGUCUCCAGCAAAGCUAGAGACAAGACGCCCAACACCAAGCAAAGCUUGAGGGUACAAAUGACGCUCGAACAGGCAUGCCCUUUGGAAUACCAAAGGGCGCAAUGUGCGUUCAAAGAUUCGAUGAUUCACUGAAUUCUGCAAUUCACACUACUUAUCGCAUUUCGCUGCGUUCUUCAUCGAUGCCAGAACCAAGAGAUCCGUUGUUGAAAGUUGUAAUUAUUAAUUUGUUACUGACGCUGAUUGCAAUUACAAAAGGUUUAUGUUUGUCCUAGUGGUGGGCGAACCCACCAAGGAAACAAGAAGUACGCAAAAGACAAGGGUGAAUAAUUCAGCAAGGCUGUAACCCCGAGAGGUUCCAGCCCGCCUUCAUAUUUGUGUAAUGAUCCCUCCGCAGGUUCACCUACGGAGACCUUGUUACGA
rnacentral:misc_RNA from 1 species